GUAGAGAACGUUACCGAGCGAGCGUGGGGACAACAAAGUAAACGCCGGAGAAGUGAAUAUCCUAGAUUUUCCUGCCCAGUGUUAGUCAAAACAUUUUUAACCAUUUAUUGAGUCAAACCAUACGCCUGAUCACAUUUUGUUUCUGAUACGAUCCCGAUUCGUGUAUACGAGAGACGCAAGAGACAGGGCAACAGGGAGACUGUUG
rnacentral:lncRNA from 1 species